CAAGCCUAGAGCAGAAUGAGGAGGAAGGGAGAGAUUUGCAGACUCUGAUGCAUUCAUAGCUUCUAUUUUUUUUUAUGGCCCUUGUCAUAACUGAGCAAGAAUGGUGUAGGUUGCUAAUAUAUUUACAGCCUGCCUGUGCAAGUGAAGGUGUGGGAUGACAACAGGAAACAAGUAGUGAAUUUGGAGUGGGAGCCUGUGUGAAGUCCAAACUAACACCUGAACCUAAAGCCGUCUUUCUUUGCAGGCUCUGCACUGGCAUGUGGAGGACCAGUGCCUGGCUAGUGCUGCCAAAGAUGAAGCUAUUCAGAAGAACAAGCAGCGUGUGAGAGCGGUGCCCAGCUCCUCAAAAGCUCUACCCCACACCCAGCAGAGAAAAAGGAGGCGUUUGUGGCUGGUGGUGUCCCCAGGACUGGAGCUGUCAUUGCAUAGCUGUCCAGUCUCCACCUGAGGAAGCAGGUGGAGUUAAAGAGGAGACCCACAAACUGGCUCUGUUCUCUGGGUAAGGCCAUGGCAGCUGUGUUGGGCUCAUGCCUACCAGACACUUGCUAAAGCUGCCUCCUCUUGACCUUCUGAUCUGUAU
rnacentral:lncRNA from 1 species